AACGGCCAUACCAUGCUGAAUAUACCGGUUCUCGUUAGAUCACCGAAGUCAAGCAUCAUUGGGCGCGGUCAGUACUUGGGUGGGUGACCACCUGGGAACACCGCGUGCC
rnacentral:rRNA from 1 species